rnacentral:rRNA from 1 species
CCCUUAGAUGUUCUGGGCCGCACGCGCGCUACACUGAUUCAUGCAACAAGUUUUGUCCUUGGCUGAUAGGCCUGGGUAAUCUUUGAACGUGAAUCGUGAUGGGGAUAGAUGAUUGCAAUUAUUCAUCUUCAACGAGGAAUUCCUAGUAAACACAAGUCAUCAGCUUGCAUUGAUUACGUCCCUGCCCUUUGUACACACCGCCCGUCGCACCUACCGAUUGAAUGGUCCGGAGAAAUCUUCGGAUCUGAGAGAUGUCUGAUUAAUUUCGGACGCCUUUUGGAAAAGUUGCUUAAACCUUACCAUUUAGAGGAAGGUGAAGUCGUAACA